rnacentral:rRNA from 1 species
AGGCUGCAACUCGCCUGCGUCAAGUUGGAAUUGCUAGUAAUCGCGGAUCAGCAUGCCGCGGUGAAUACGUUCCCGGGCCUUGUACACACCGCCCGUCACACCAUGAGAGUCGGGAACACCCGAAGUCCGUAGUCUAACCGCAAGGAGGGCGCGGCCGAAGGUGGGUUCGAUAAUUGGGGUGAAGUCGUAACAAGGUAAC